rnacentral:pre_miRNA from 1 species
AAAGUACUCCCUCUAUCCUGAAUUAAUUGUCUUAGAUUUGUCUAGAUACGGGUCUAUCAAGACCUUUUUUAGUGUUAGGUAUAUCUGUAUCUAGACAAAUCUAAGACAACUAAUUUGGGACGGAGGUAAUAUUCA